CCCCUAAUUAAUUUUUCGUAGGGCAGAGGAGGUUGACGGCAGAAACACAACAGCAGGCUGCGAUCAAGAGGAAAGAAAGAAAAGAAAGGAUUGGUUCGAGCUUCAAGCCGCAAUCAAGUUUCAAGUUCGGGAUAGUGGAUGGAGCCUGAGAGUCCUGGUGCAAAUGGAGCGGAAAAGAGUAAUAAUUAAAUGACCAGCCAGUUGGGCAGAGUAGAAUGCCAGUGACAGAAACUAAAAUCGCCACUAUUUUCUUUGAUUGAGUCGAGCCCACUUAUCUCUAUAGUAUAAAACAUAGAGGCUUCAUAUGAAACACAUGGGCUGCCAUAUGUACUAAGCCCAGCAAAACCUUUAAAGUCAAGAUAGUGGGCCGCUAAUUUCCACAUACAAGUUCACGAAACAUCAAAUGAGGACCGUUACUUCUAUUUUUUGGGCUUUUGGAAACAAGAAACUAGUGGAUUGAAUAUUAUAGAAACAAAAACCCUAAAGGCCAGGAGAUUGAUUAUAUAGUGGACGUGAAUCAAAGUGAAAGGGAUCCCCUAAUUAAUUUUUCGUAGGGCAGAGGAGGUUGACGGCAGAAACACAACAGCAGGCUGCGAUCAAGAGGAAAGAAAGAAAAGAAAGGAUUGGUUCGAGCUUCAAGCCGCAAUCAAGUUUCAAGUUCGGGUUUGCAAUUUAUUAUUUUUGGUUUUGUUAGACUUUGUGUUUUACAAAAUUAUAAACAUGUUUUGCUACUCGAUUCAGACUUGUUUCUUUUUCAUGACUAUGAUUCUUGGCUAAACUUUUCAUACUACUUAGGUUGAGAUGAACUAGAGGAUUGUAAUGCGUUUGUGACAUGUUUUCGGUUAUUUGAUGUGAUUUACAUAACUUUUCUUUG
rnacentral:lncRNA from 1 species